rnacentral:rRNA from 1 species
GAAGGGCAUAACCUUGGGAAACUGAGGCUAAUUCCAUAUAGUCUAAAACACCUGGAAGGAGUAUUAGGCGAAAAGAGGCAUGAAUCGUAGUGUUUUCGCCUUACGAUGAGACUGCGUCGGAUCAGGCAGAUGGCGGGGUAACGGCCCACCAUACCUUUGACCCGUAGGGGAUAUGAGAGUAUAAGCCCCGAGAAGGGCACUGAGACAAGGGCCCUAGCGCUACGGCGUGCAGCAGGCGCGCAAACUCCACGAUGUGCGAAAGCAUGAUGGGGGGAGUCUGAGUGGCACGUUUUUAACGUGUCUUUUGCCAAGUCUAGUAAGCUUGGCGAAUAAGUGCUGGGUAAGACCGGUGGCAGCCGCCACGGUAAUACCGGCGGCACAAGUGGUGUUCACUAUUAUUGGGCUUAAAGCGUCCGUAGCUGGCCGGAACCGUCUUAUGUGAAAUAUGCUUGCUCAACAAGCAUGCGUGCAUAAGAUACCUUCCGGCUAGGGAGCGGGAGAGGUCAAGAGUACUUAUGGGGUAGGGGUUAAAUCCUGUAAUCCUGUAAGGACUACCUGUGGCGAAGGCGCUUGACCAGAACGCAUCCGACAGUGAGUGACGAAGGCUAGGAGAACGAAUCGGAUUAGAUACCCGAGUAGCCCUAGCAGUAAAUCAUGCAGACAUUGGUGUUGCACCUAUCUUGAAUAGAUGCAGUACCGUAGGAAAACUGUUAAGUCUGCCGCCUGGGGAGUACGGCCG